GACGAACGCUGGCGGCGUGCUUAACACAUGCAAGUCGUACGGUAAGGCCCUUUCGGGGGUACACGAGUGGCGAACGGGUGAGUAACACGUGAGUAACCUGCCCACAACUUUGGGAUAACGCUAGGAAACUGGUGCUAAUACUGGAUAUGUGCUCCUGCUGCAUGGUGGGGGUUGGAAAGCUCCGGCGGUUGUGGAUGGACUCGCGGCCUAUCAGCUUGUUGGUGGGGUAGUGGCCUACCAAGGCGGCGACGGGUAGCCGGCCUGAGAGGGUGACCGGCCACGUUGGGACUGAGAUACGGCCCAGACUCCUACGGGAGGCAGCAGUGGGGAAUAUUGCACAAUGGGCGCAAGCCUGAUGCAGCAACGCCGCGUGCGGGAUGACGGCCUUCGGGUUGUAAACCGCUUUCAGCAGGGACGAAGCUUUUUGUGACGGUACCUGCAGAAGAAGCACCGGCUAACUACGUG
rnacentral:rRNA from 1 species